GUAGCUUGAUAAUAGGGUCCCUUGAGAAUCCGCCGGCUUAACUGGCGGGCGUUCAGGGGAAACUUGUUUUCUAGGGACCGGGAGAGGUGAGGGGUACUGCCGGGGUAGGAGUGAAAUCCUGUAAUCCCGGUGGGACCACCUAUGGCGAAGGCAUCUCACCAGAACGGGUCCGACAGUGAGGGACGAAAGCUGGGGGAGCAAACCGGAUUAGAUACCCGGGUAGUCCCAGCUGUAAACUAUGUGCGUUAGGUGUGUCAGUGACCACGUGUCACUGAGGUGCCGAAGGGAAACCGUGAAACGCACCGCCUGGGGAGUACGGUCGCAAGGCUGAAACUUAAAGGAAUUGGCGGGGGAGCACCACAACGGGUGGAGCCUGCGGUUUAAUCGGACUCAACGCCGGGAAUCUCACCGGAUAAGACAGCUGAAUGAUAGUCGGGAUGAAGACUCUACUUGACUAGCUGAGAGGAGGUGCAUGGCCGUCGUCAGUUCGUACUGUGAAGCAUCCUGUUUAGUCAGGCAACGAGCGAGACCCACGCGAGCAGUUGCCAGCUUGACCUUCGGGUUGAUGGGGACACUGCUCGGACCGCCCCUGCUAAAGGGGAGGAAGGACUGGGCAACGGUAGGUCAGCAUGCCCCGAAUUAUCCGGGCUACACGCGGGCUACAAUGGACAGGACAAUGAGUUUCGACACCGAGAGGUGAGGAUAAUCUUCUAACCCUGUCCCAAGUUCGGAUUGCGGGUUGUAACUCACCCGCAUGAAGCUGGAAUCCGUAGUAAUCGCGUUUCAACGUACCGCGGUGAAUAUGUCCCUGCUCCUUGCACUCACCGCCCGU
rnacentral:rRNA from 1 species